GGGUCUGUCCAUUGGUCGGGCUUCACGGUCCGUACUGGUGAGAUGGGUUCCUACCUUCUGAAUAACCAGCAUGCCAUUCAUUUGGUGCGCCGGGGAAGCAGAGCUAUUACCUUGAAAAAAUUAGAGUGUUUAAAGCAGGCAUUUUGCUCGAAUACAUUAGCAUGGAAUAAUAAAAUAGGACGGUUGGUUCUAUUUUGUUGGUUUCUAGGAUCACCGUA
rnacentral:rRNA from 1 species